UACAGAGGUCCCAAGCGUUGUUCGGAUUCACUGGGCGUAAAGGGUGCGUAGGCGGUCGGGUAAGUCUGAUGUGAAAUCUCACGGCUUAACUGUGAAACUGCAUUGGAUACUAUCCGGCUCGAGGAAUGGAGGGGAGACUGGAAUACUUGGUGUAGCAGUGAAAUGCGUAGAUAUCAAGUGGAACACCAGUGGCGAAGGCGAGUCUCUGGACAUUUCCUGACGCUGAGGCACGAAAGCCAGGGGAGCAAACGGG
rnacentral:rRNA from 1 species